GGAUUAUGUUCAUUUAGGCCGC
rnacentral:siRNA from 1 species